GAUGAAGAACGCAGCGAAAUGCGAUAAGUAAUGUGAAUUGCAGAAUUCAGUGAAUCAUCGAAUCUUUGAACGCACAUUGCGCCCGCUGGUAUUCCGGCGGGCAUGCCUGUUCGAGCGUCAUUUCAACCCUCAAGCUCUCCGGAGUUUGGUGUUGGGGCGCCUGGGGCUUUUCGACCUCAGGGCCCUCAAGUCCAUCGGCGGGACCGCCAGGACACUGAGCGCAGUAGUAUUAUUUCGCUCGGUAGGAUCUUCCACGGCGGGUCGAUCUGGCCGCUAAACCCCCCAAUUCUCACCAAAGGUUGACCUCGGAUCAGGUAGGAAUACCCGCUGAACUUAAGCAUAUCAUAAGCGGAGGA
rnacentral:misc_RNA from 1 species